rnacentral:rRNA from 1 species
CAAUAGCGUAUAUUAAAGUUGUUGCAGUUAAAAAGCUCGUAGUUGGAUUUCGGGGCCCCGGGCGUUCGUUGCGUUUCCCGCUGGACUCGUUUCGGUGGGUGCGUGGCGGGCGUCGGUCUCUGAGUCGGAUCGGUCCGCCGAGAGGCGUGUACUGACCGACGGCCCCUGUUGUCUCUCGGGUUGCCCGCCUGCUCUUAACUGUUGCGGACGGGGAGUUCGGGACGUUUACUUUGAACAAAUUAGAGUGUUCCAAGCAGGCCGAUUGCUUUGAAUACAUUAGCAUGGAAUAAUGGAAUAGGGCUGCGUGACUCGUCGUCUUCGGGCGGCGGGUCCUCGUGUCCUAUUUUGUUGGUUUUCGGGACCGCAGUCAUGG